UGGGGAAUAUUGCACAAUGGGCGAAAGCCUGAUGCAGCAACGCCGCGUGAGUGAUGAAGGUCUUCGGAUUGUAAAGCUCUGUCUUUUGGGACGAUAAUGACGGUACCAAAGGAGGAAGCCACGGCUAACUACGUGCCAGCAGCCGCGGUAAUACGUAGGUGGCGAGCGUUGUCCGGAUUUACUAGGCGUAAAGGGUGCGUAGGCGGAUGUUUAAGUGAGAUGUGAAAUACCCGGGCUUAACUUGGGUGCUGCAUUUCAAACUGGAUAUCUAGAGUGCAGGAGAGGAGAAUGGAAUUCCUAGUGUAGCGGUGAAAUGCGUAGAGAUUAGGAAGAACACCAGUGGCGAAGGCGAUUCUCUGGACUGUAACUGACGCUGAGGCACGAAAGCGUGGGUAGCAAACAGGAUUAGAUACCCUGGUAGUCCACGCCGUAAACGAUGAGUACUAGGUGUAGGAGGUAUCGACCCCUUCUGUGCCGCAGUAAACACAUUAAGUACUCCGCCUGGGAAGUACGGUCGCAAGAUU
rnacentral:rRNA from 1 species